UACCAGACUCCUACGGGAGGCAGCAGUCGGGAAUAUUGCGCAAUGGAGGAAACUCUGACGCAGUGACGCCGCGUAUAGGAAGAAGGUUUUCGGAUUGUAAACUAUUGUCGUGAGGGAAGAAGAUGACAGUACCUCAGGAGGAAGCUCCGGCUAACUAUGUGCCAGCAGCCGCGGUAAUACAUAGGGAGCAAGCGUUAUCCGGAAUUAUUGGGUGUAAAGGGUGCGUAGACGGCUGAGCAAGUCUGAAGUGAAAGGCGGGGGCCCAACCCCCGGACUGCUUUGGAAACUGUAUAGCUAGAGUGCAGGAGAGGUAAGUGGAAUUCCUAGUGUAGCGGUGAAAUGCGUAGAUAUUAGGAGGAACACCAGUGGCGAAGGCGGCUUACUGGACUGUAACUGACGUUGAGGCUCGAAAGCGUGGGGAGCAAACAGGAUUAGAUACCCCUGUA
rnacentral:rRNA from 1 species